rnacentral:rRNA from 1 species
GAUGAACGCUGGCGGCGUGCCUAAUACAUGCAAGUCGAGCGAACAGACGAGGAGCUUGCUCCUCUGACGUUAGCGGCGGACGGGUGAGUAGCACGUGGAUAACCUACCUAUAAGACUGGGAUAACUUCGGGAAACCGGAGCUAAUACCGGAUAACAUGUUGAACCGCAUGGUUUAACAGUGAAAGACGGUCUUGCUGUCACUUAUAGAUGGAUCCGCGCCGCAUUAGCUAGUUGGUAAGGUAACGGCUUACCAAGGCAACGAUGCGUAGCCGACCUGAGAGGGUGAUCGGCCACACUGGAACUGAGACACGGUCCAGACUCCUACGGGAGGCAGCAGUAGGGAAUCUUCCGCAAUGGGCGAAAGCCUGACGGAGCAACGCCGCGUGAGUGAAGAAGGUCUUCGGAUCGUAAAACUCUGUUAUUAGGGAAGAACAAAUGUGUAAGUAACUAUGCACGUCUUGACGGUACCUAAUCAGAAAGCCACGGCUAACUACGUG